rnacentral:rRNA from 1 species
UACGUAGGUGGCGAGCGUUGUCCGGAUUUAUUGGGUUUAAAGGGUGCGUAGGCGGCCCUAUAAGUCAGUGGUGAAAUAUCGCAGCUUAACUGUGAGGGUGCCAUUGAUACUGUAGGGCUUGAGUGAAUUUGAGGUAGGCGGAAUUGACGGUGUAGCGGUGAAAUGCAUAGAUACCAUCAAGAACACCGAUUGCGAAGGCAGCUUACUAAGCUGUAACUGACGCUGAGGCACGAAAGCGUGGGGAUCGAACAGG